GAUGAACGCUGGCGGCGUGCCUAAUACAUGCAAGUCGAGCGAACAGAUAAGGAGCUUGCUCCUUUGACGUUAGCGGCGGACGGGUGAGUAACACGUGGGUAACCUACCUAUAAGACUGGGAUAACUUCGGGAAACCGGAGCUAAUACCGGAUAACAUUUGGAACCGCAUGGUUCUAAAGUGAAAGAUGGUUUUGCUAUCACUUAUAGAUGGACCCGCGCCGUAUUAGCUAGUUGGUAAGGUAACGGCUUACCAAGGCGACGAUACGUAGCCGACCUGAGAGGGUGAUCGGCCACACUGGAACUGAGACACGGUCAAGACUCCUACGGGAGGCAGCAGUAGGGAAUCGUCCGCAAUGGGCGAAAGCCUGACGGAGCAACGCCGCGUGAGUGAUGAAGGGUUUCGGCUCGUAAAACUCUGUUAUUAGGGAAGAACCAAUGUGUAAGUAACUGUGCACGUCUUGACGGUACCUAAUCAGAAAGCCACGGCUAACUACGUG
rnacentral:rRNA from 1 species